GGUGGGGGGUUAACCGAAAUCGGGGGGGUUGGGGGCGUUUUUUGGGGGCGGGGUUGGUGGUGGGGUGGGAAAUGACGUGGUGGGACCCCAAAUUACGUGGUGGUGGGACUCCAUUCCACAUGGUAGGACUCCAACCCCUCGUGGUGGGACCCCAAAUUACGUGGUGGGUCCCCAAAUUACGUGGUGGGACCCCAACUGACAUGGUGGGACCCCAAACUACGUGGUAGGACCCCAAAUUACGUGGUGGUGGGACUCCAUUCCACAUGGUAGGACUCCAACCCCACGUGGUGGGACCCCAAACUACGUGGUGGGACGCCAAAUUACAUGGUGAGACCCCAAAUUACGUGGUGGGACCCCAAAUUACGUGGUGGGUCAACAAAUAAUGUGGUGGGACCCCAAAUUACGUGGUGGGACACCAACCUACGUGGUGGUGGGACUCCAUUCCACAUGGUAGGACUCCAACCCCACGUGGUGGGUCACCAAAUUACGUGGUGGGUUGCCAAAUUACGUGGUGGGACCCCAAAUUACGUGGUGGGACCCCAAAUUACGUGGUGGGACACCAGCCUACGUGGUGGUGGGACUCCAUUCCACAUGAUAGGACUCCAACCCCACGUGGUGGGACCCCAAACUAGGUGGUGGGACCCUAAAUUAUGUGGAGGAACUCCAAAUUACGUGGAGGGACCCAAAAUUACGUGGUGGAACCCCAAAUUACGUGGAGGAACUCCAACCUACGUGGUGGUGGGACUCCAUUCCACAUGGUAGGACUCCAACCCCACGUGGUGGGACCCCAAACUACGUGGUGGGACGCCAAAUUACAUGGUGAGACCCCAAAUUACGUGGUGGGACCCCAAAUUACGUGGUGGGUCGCCAAAUUACGUGGUGGGACCCCAACCUACGUGGUGGUGGGACUCCAUUCCACAUGGUAGGACUCCAACCCCACGUGGUGGGACCCCAAACUAGGUGGUGGGACCCCAAAUCACAUGGAGGAACUCCUAAUUACGUGGUGGGACCCCAAAUUACAUGGUGGUGGGACACCAACUGACAUGUUGGGACACCAAAUUACGUGGUGGGACACCAACCUAUGUGGUGGGACCCCAUCCCCACGUGGUGGGCCACCAACCUGCGUGCUUGGCGAUGCUCUUGCCGAGGGGCUCGGGGAGGUCCUCGUGCUGCACGGUGCAGGUG
rnacentral:lncRNA from 1 species